UGCCAGCAGCCGCGGUAAUACGUAGGGUGCCAGCGUUGUUCGGAAUUAUUGGGCGUAAAGCGCGUGUAGGCGGUCCGGUUAGUCGGAUGUGAAAGCCCGGGGCUCAACCCCGGAAAUGCAUUCGAUACUGCCGAGCUAGAGUCCCGGAGAGGAUGGCGGAAUUCCCGGUGUAGAGGUGAAAUUCGUAGAUAUCGGGAGGAACACCAGUGGCGAAGGCGGCCAUCUGGACGGUGACUGACGCUGAGACGCGAAAUCGUGUGGAGCAAACAGGAUUAGCUA
rnacentral:rRNA from 1 species